GACGAACGCUGGCGGCGUGCUUAACACAUGCAAGUCGAACGGAAAGGCCCUGCUUUUGUGGGGUGCUCGAGUGGCGAACGGGUGAGUAACACGUGAGUAACCUGCCCUUGACUUUGGGAUAACUUCAGGAAACUGGGGCUAAUACCGGAUAGGAGCUCCUGCUGCAUGGGGUGGGUUGGAAAGUUUCGGCGGUUGGGGAUGGACUCGCGGCUUAUCAGCUUGUUGGUGGGGUAGUGGCUUACCAAGGCUUUGACGGGUAGCCGGCCUGAGAGGGUGACCGGCCACAUUGGGACUGAGAUACGGCCCAGCCUCCUCCGGGAGGAAGCGGUGGGGAAUAUUGCACAAUGGGCGGAGGCCUGAUGAAGCAACGCCGCGUGCGGGAUGCCGGCCUUCGGGUUGUAAACCGCUUUCGCCUGUGACGAAGCGUGAGUGACGGUAAUGGGUAAAGAAGCACCGGCUAACUACGUG
rnacentral:rRNA from 1 species